rnacentral:ncRNA from 1 species
AAAAUUUUUGCAAUUCGCUAUCUGUAUCUCUCAUCGUCAUUUGGACUUCUCCCAUCAACCUCGGUUAGUUUCGCCGGGGUUUUU